CCUACGGGAGGCAGCAGUGGGGAAUAUUGCACAAUGGGCGCAAGCCUGAUGCAGCAACGCCGCGUGAGGGACGACGGCCUUCGGGUUGUAAACCUCUUUUAGUAGGGAAGAAGCGAAAGUGACGGUACCUGCAGAAAAAGCACCGGCUAACUACGUGCCAGCAGCCGCGGUAAUACGUAGGGUGCAAGCGUUAUCCGGAAUUAUUGGGCGUAAAGAGCUCGUAGGCGGUUUGUCGCGUCUGCUGUGAAAACUGGAGGCUCAACCUCCAGCCUGCAGUGGGUACGGGCAAACUAGAGUGCGGUAGGGGAGAUUGGAAUUCCUGGUGUAGCGGUGGAAUGCGCAGAUAUCAGGAGGAACACCGAUGGCGAAGGCAGAUCUCUGGGCCGUAACUGACGCUGAGGAGCGAAAGCAUGGGGAGCGAACAGGAUUAGAUACCCUGGUAGUCCAUGCCGUAAACGUUGGGCGCUAGAUGUGGGGACCCAUUCCACGGUUUUCCGUGUCGCNGCUACGCAUAGCGCCCGCCCGUCGGGAGGUACGGCCGGCCGACGGACGUAAACCUAACAAACUAGAAGUUAGUACGGCGUGAGACGUGCCGACGGACGACGACGAGGGAGGUUAGG
rnacentral:rRNA from 1 species